rnacentral:tRNA from 1 species
CGGGGCGUGGCGCAGCUUGGUAGCGCGCUUGACUGGGGGUCAAGAGGUCGAAGGUUCAAAUCCUUUCGCUCCGACCA